rnacentral:rRNA from 1 species
GAUGAACGCUGGCGGCGUGCCUAAUACAUGCAAGUCGAGCGAACUGAUUAGAAGCUUGCUUCUAUGACGUUAGCGGCGGACGGGUGAGUAACACGUGGGCAACCUGCCUGUAAGACUGGGAUAACUCCGGGAAACCGGAGCUAAUACCGGAUAACAUUUUCUCUUGCAUAAGAGAAAAUUGAAAGAUGGUUUCGGCUAUCACUUACAGAUGGGCCCGCGGUGCAUUAGCUAGUUGGUGAGGUAACGGCUCACCAAGGCAACGAUGCAUAGCCGACCUGAGAGGGUGAUCGGCCACACUGGGACUGAGACACGGCCCAGACUCCUACGGGAGGCAGCAGUAGGGAAUCUUCCGCAAUGGACGAAAGUCUGACGGAGCAACGCCGCGUGAGUGAUGAAGGCUUUCGGGUCGUAAAACUCUGUUGUUAGGGAAGAACAAGUACAAGAGUAACUGCUUGUACCUUGACGGUACCUAACCAGAAAGCCACGGCUAACUACGUGCCAGCCGCCGC